GAUGAACGCUGGCGGCGUGCUUAAGACAUGCAAGUCGAACGAAGAGUGUAGCAAUACUCUCUUAGUGGCGAAUGGGUGCGUAACACGUAGGCGACCUGCCCUGAAGUGUGGAAUAACAGUCCGAAAGGAUUGCUAAUACCGCAUGUGGUCCCGGGCGUUAGAGAACCGGGUCUAAAGUAGCAAUACGCUUCAGGAGGGGCCUGCGGUCCAUCAGCUUGUUGGUGGGGUAACGGCCUACCAAGGCGACGACGGAUAGGGGACCUGAGAGGGUGGCCCCCCACAUUGGCACUGACACACGGGCCAAACUCCUACGGGAGGCAGCAGUCGGGAAUAUUGGUCAAUGGGCGAAAGCCUGAACCAGCAACGCCGCGUGCGCGAUGAAGGCCUUCGGGUCGUAAAGCGCUUUUCGGGAGGAUGAGGAAGGACAGUACUCCCGGAAUAAGUCACGGCUAACUACGUGCCAGCCGCCGCAGUAAUAC
rnacentral:rRNA from 1 species